UGUCCGAGGUCAAACACAGCGAUAUAAAUCGAUGUUUACGUUUAGCAUCGAUGCCAAUAAAUCGUAGAGCAUUAUAUCGAUUAAUCGAUGUGUAUCGAUGAAUCGUUACACCCCUAGCCAUCAUCAUUAGAUUUGACUGGCGAUGCCCCAAUUUUAAAGUCGCUCCAUGCAUAACGUGAUGUACAUUUUAUGAAGGUGUGUGACACUCUGAAGUCAUUUUGAGAUUCUGUCAAAAACUAUAUAUUCCAAAUGUUACAUGAGGGAUUGUGCAACAGUCAUGGCAAAUGAUGCAUUUUUAAUCUUUAUUGCUCGUGCAAGACUCUGUCCAGAGAACCUGCACCAGAUGUUGCAGCAAAAGAAGUAGGUGGUUUGGUUGGUCGAGGGAGGCAGAAGAAAGCUCUGGUACCGUUUACUGAAGAAGCUGCUCUGGAGAUCUCAGUUGGAUUUCGGCAGGUGAAGAUUGGAGAAAGAGUUGGGCGUAGAAGAGAUUUCCAUGAUGGCGGCAUUAACACCAGGCUGACGAUGGAGCAUGUCAAAACGUCAAAGUCUGGAUCAAGUGGCUCGGCUAUUCAGUUGUCGGCCAAUUUCUUUCGCAUCGUGUCCCGUCCUCAAUGGGUUCUGUACCAGUACCAUGUGGACUUCAAUCCGCCAAUGGAGGCCCGUCGCCUUAGAACAGCCCUAUUCCAGCAUGAGCAAGUCCUGGGCUCUGUUCACUGCUUUGAUGGAGCAGUCCUGUUUCUUCCUCAAAGACUCGAUGACAAGGUCACUGUGCUGCAUAGCAGAACAAGAAAUGGAGAGGAAGUACAAAUAACGGUCACUCUGACGAAUGAACGACCGCCAACAUCACCAGUUGUGCCUGCAGUUGUACAACAUUAUUUUUAAAAGGUCAGCAUUUUGUUUUCCCUUUCAUAUACUCUCAGUUUUGACUCCUUAAAUAUUAUAUUAAAAUUGU